rnacentral:lncRNA from 1 species
UCUUCCUACAACAGCAUAGUGCUACACUAUUACUUUACUGGUUAUGAUGAUCUCUUGUAGUCAAAUCUAAGUGUGUGUGUGUGUGUGUGUGUGUGUGUGUGUGUGUGUGUGUGCUGGCUAGUUUUACAUCAACCUGACAUGUCUAGAGUCAUCUGAGAGGAGGAAACCCCAAUUGAGACAAUGCCUUCAGGAGAUCAGGCUGCAGGCAAGCCCAUAGGGCAUUUUCUUAAUUACUGAUUCAUGCGGGAGGCCCCAGCUCACUGUGGUGAUGUCACAGUGGGUGCUAUUCUUCCUGAACAAGCCAGGAGAAGCAAGGCAGUAAGCAGCACUCCCCCAUGUUCUGUGCAUCAGCUCCUGCUCCAGGUUCCUGCCAUGUUGUUUGACAUCCUGAUCUAACUUCCUUUGUUGAUAAACUGUAAUAUGGAAAUACAAGCCUAACAAACUCUUUC